CCUGACUACUUUCCUAAUUGGAAUUAUUCCAAGAAAUGAGCCAAGUUUGUCAAAGCCAGAAGACUUAAGGCCCAAAUACAAUUAAUGGACUUGAAGAAUUAUAAGAAAGCCCAUGCUCGAGCAAGGAGGUCCACAUAUGUGCUGGAUAUGCGGCCCAGCCUGCACGGACAACAAAAACGCACGCGUGCCCACACGCCCCGUGCAUAACCCAUGGCCCGGGAUUCCCACUCGAUUACCCAUGUAGACAAGCCCGCAGACAAGCCU
rnacentral:lncRNA from 1 species